UACGUAGGGGGCGAGCGUUGUCCGGAAUCAUUGGGCGUAAAGAGCGUGUAGGCGGCUUGGCAAGUCUGACGUGAAAGCCCGCGGCUCAACCGCGGAUUGUCGUUGGAAACUGCCUCGCUAGAGCCCGGAAGAGGAGAGCGGAAUUCCUGGUGUAGCGGUGGAAUGCGCAGAUAUCAGGAAGAACACCCGUGGCGAAGGCGGCUCUCUGGGACGGUACUGACGCUGAGACGCGAAAGCGUGGGGAGCGAACAGG
rnacentral:rRNA from 1 species